GAUGACGACUACGCGUACGAGGCUUAACACAUGCAAGUCGAGGGCAUCGAGGAAGGAAAGACGUUGCUUUCUUUGCUGGCGACCGGCGCACGGGUGAGUAACACGUAUCCAACCUGCCCUUUACUCGGGGAUAGCCUUUCGAAAGAAAGAUUAAUACCCGAUAGCAUAAUGAUUCCGCAUGGUUUCAUUAUUAAAGGAUUCCGGUAAAGGAUGGGGAUGCGUUCCAUUAGGUUGUUGGUGAGGUAACGGCCCACCAAGCCUUCGAUGGAUAGGGGUUCUGAGAGGAAGGUCCCCCACAUUGGAACUGAGACACGGUCCAA
rnacentral:rRNA from 1 species